ensembl:piRNA 21ur-8012 ncRNA
UUAGAAUUUUUUAAAAAUGUU